CGAUGCAACGCGAAGAACCUUACCUGGGCUUGACAUCCCGAGAAUCUCCUGGAAACAGGAGAGUGCCUUCGGGGAACUCGGUGACAGGUGCUGCAUGGCUGUCGUCAGCUCGUGUCGUGAGAUGUUGGGUUAAGUCCCGCAACGAGCGCAACCCUUGUCUUUAAUUGCCGUCAUUCAGUUGGGCACUUUAAAGAGACUGCCGGUGUCAAACCGGAGGAAGUGGGGAUGACGUCAAGUCCUCAUGGCCUUUAUGCCCAGGGCUACACACGUGCUACAAUGGCCGGUACAAAGGGCAGCGACACAGCGAUGUGAAGCGAAUCCCGAAAAGACCGGUCUCAGUCCGGAUUGGAGUCUGCAACUCGACUCCAUGAAGUUGGAAUCGCUAGUAAUCGCGGAUCAGCACGCCGCGGUGAAUACGUUCCCGGGCCUU
rnacentral:rRNA from 1 species